UACGGAGGAUGCGAGCGUUAUCCGGAUUUAUUGGGUUUAAAGGGUGCGUAGGCGGACUGUCAAGUCAGCGGUAAAAUACGGGGGCUCAACCCCGUCGUGCCGUUGAAACUGAUGUUCUUGAGUGGGCGAGAAGUAUGCGGAAUGCGUGGUGUAGCGGUGAAAUGCAUAGAUAUCACACAGAACACCGAUUGCGAAGGCAGCUUUCCAAGCUAUUACUGACGCUGAGGCACGAAAGCGUGGGGAGCGAACAGG
rnacentral:rRNA from 1 species